GACGAACGCUGGCGGCGUGCCUAAUACAUGCAAGUAGAACGCUGAAGGAGGAGCUUGCUUCUCUGGAUGAGUUGCGAACGGGUGAGUAACGCGUAGGUAACCUGCCUGGUAGCGGGGGAUAACUAUUGGAAACGAUAGCUAAUACCGCAUAAUAGUAGAUGUCGCAUGACAUUUGCUUAAAAGGUGCAAUUGCAUCACUACCAGAUGGACCUGCGUUGUAUUAGCUAGUUGGUGAGGUAACGGCUCACCAAGGCAACGAUACAUAGCCGACCUGAGAGGGGGAUCGGCCAAACUGGGACUGAGACACGGCCCAGACUCCUACGGGAGGCAGCAGUAGGGAAUCUUCGGCAAUGGACGGAAGUCUGACCGAGCAACGCCGCGUGAGUGAAGAAGGUUUUCGGAUCGUAAAGCUCUGUUGUAAGAGAAGAACGAGUGUGAGAGUGGAAAGUUCACACUGUGACGGUAUCUUACCAGAAAGGGACGGCUAACUACGUG
rnacentral:rRNA from 1 species